ACCUGUCCCAGGAGGGAGGCUGCUGUGAUCAAGAAGGUGGUUUUUCUCGGGGUGAGGCUUAGCCGCUGCACACAGCUAUGCUGAUCCCUGGGAUUUUCUCCAAACGUGAGGCACUGGAUAGCAUAAUUUGUGGUAGUUGGGUAAAUGAGAGAUUAACUAU